GAACACCAGGUGCUGGUAGAGUGUCAGCCCCAGGCAAGGCAGAAGCUGCUUUACGGAAGGCGAGAAGUCCGGGUGGAUCUUGUAGCGUCGCAGGAUGGGGACCCAGGGAUACAGGACGUCCAGCACCACGAACGCUGAUGUACUAAUGACACAGGAGAGAGCGAUUCUGCCUUGGGACAGUUCACCCGCCAUCACCGCUAAAAACUAAUGAGUUCUUCGCUCUCAGAAGGCGCUGUUUCUCAACCAAAGCAGAAUUCCCUGGGUUUUAAAAUAUCUGUUUUUGACUGUUUAAAGACUUAUUCUACACCUUGGGGGACUCUGAGUGUGCGUACCUCACGCCACAGUGCUGGUACUGGGUCCGUUGCAGACAGGGAUUGAGUCCUGUAGGAGAGGGAACCUGGCAUCCUCCAAAAAAGAGCAGUCAGGCUCGCAGCCUUUUGGCGCGGACGACUCUCCCGCUCUGGUGCCCUUAAAGCCCGCGGUGUCAAGAGCAGAGAUCAGAUCCUGCAAGACAGCGGUCAAGAGGGCAGCACUGCCAGCCUUUGCUCUGGGUUGGAGAACGGAGGCUUAACACCCGUAAAGGCUCACUCGAUUGGGCCAAACCGCAAAGGCCAGUGGAGAAGAAGAUCUGAGCAAUCUCAUAGCCUCCCGGAACAUGUCUCAUCUCCCCUGCCAUUUCCUUAGAGGUCCCUCAGGCUCCGACUUUUACCAACCCUCAGUUGUUCCCUACUCCUCAACUCCUGGAUACCCUUUCAGACACUGGGACUGAUCGUCCAGGGACUGAGCACAGGAGGACAUCAAACCUGUGAAGCAAAGCCUGGAGCCAGGCCUGCAGGAUGCCCUGUUCCCAUGCCCCUGCUCCUCAAGACACGUUGAAGAACAGCUGCCCUCCUCCAGUCCCUGCCCAUGAAGUUCACGGGACGGACAUCGUGCCCAACAUAGAGAUGCAACCAUCUCAAGGAGUUAAGUGGUUACAGACAUCACAGCCUGAUGCUAGAGAAGCAGGCAUAAUACUCCAGAUGACUAAACAACGUUUAAUAAGCCAAAACAAAGUAGAGCCAUGUGCUAAAGAGAAGCGGUUCCUUGAAUUUGCCAAGCCUAAGGGAGUUUCUGCAGACUGAAAAAUGUAAUAGUCUCCGAGUGAGUAGAGACUUUUAGAGCAAGGAUCUUAGGAUUUAUUUCUACAAAUCUAAGAAAAUGUCUGUCCUCUCUCAGUUGCUCACUUUCUUCUCCCUCACUGGCUCUCUCUCCCUCGACAAGGCUCGUCCCGCCCCCGCCCCCCCCACCAUCCCCCCCACUCCCCUCCCCCUCCAGUGAAUUACAGAGGAGCCUGGAUAAACCUAACCCAUACCAAGCACUCACUUUGUCAUUGACCUCCAACGCCCUCCCAUCCUAAGGAAUGCUCCCAAGAUGCUGCAUAUUCAUUUUCAAAGAUACAGGCUCAAAUUUGAAGAUUAAAAAUAGGUUUCUGCAUUUCGAUAUUUAUUAAUUUUUAUGUGUUUAUAGAGAACACUAGCAGAUGCCAUUUGGGUCUGCUAUUUAGGGACAGUUGCACACGCGAGUGGCUGUUUUAUAAUUUCACAUGGUAUCAGAACGCUGUACUUUGUACUUUUCCAUUUGAUAAAGAGUUCUUUAUCAUGUCAUCUUGGCCUGAGCCCUCUGACAGCCUUUAAAGACAAGAAUCCCAUCUCCUCCAGUUAUUCCCAAGGUCCAAACAUAAUUAACUCCGUCUCAGAGUUAUUUGGUACCAACUAAUCAAAAGUCUUUGGGAAGCCUCACCAAUAGGGCAUGCAGCUAGCCAGCAAAGCUAAUGACAUAUUCUCUUUAAAAUGGGUAUGGUGACUUAUUUACUUACUUAUUUGUUUUUGCUUUCACAAGUGAGACUAUUUAGGCAGAUGCUUGACUGAAACAACUAUAUAUCAGAGGUUAUAAGCAAGGCCCAAAGAGGUGGAAUGAUCUCAAAGAUUGCAAUAUGACAUCACAUUUCAAAGAUGAGGAAUUAGUCAGUCUCAGAUAUGCCAAGAAUAGCCCUGAUUAGCGACAAAGUGUCAAUUACAGCUGAUGGAGAGUUAUGCUCAGUGUCCGUUCUUAGCCAGCCAGGGUUGCUCUCAAAAAGAACUUUGAAGUGCUUCUUCUUCUUCUUCUUUUCUUUUUUGUAGUAAUUUUCAAAGGACUGAGGGACCAUUAAUUAACCUUGAAAGUAAUACUAGAAGAUGCUAAUGAAGAAUCCGAAGGAUUGUCAGCUCUUCCUGCAAAGUCUCCGAGUUACCUUGAUGCUCCAGUAACCCAGAUACUGCUGCACAUGGCUUCGACCUGUCAUAUAGUGUAUAAGUUACUACUGUCCAUACUGAUGGAACUAUUACUGGCCUCUCUGAAGCAAGCAUAUACAGUCACUCCUAACCAAAAAGUCAUCCUAUGCCUGUAAAGAAAGAAAAAUGUCACCAGCCCCCUAGUUCUCUCCCCCCCCAUCAACAUGAUCAAAGUUUUGGAAGAACACAUUGAUUAAAACAUGCAAAGUCCAUUUUUUCUAUAACAUAAUUGAUACAAAAAGUUCCAUUUGACGAGUAUGGAAUUAGACUUGACAUCUGCAACUAACACAAUACAGCAAACACAGCUGGAUGAUAACCGAAAGCCUUCAUCAGGAUAAUUACUUCCUUAGGUCGCCUUUCACACGUCACAAGAAAUCCAAGUGGCUUCUGCCCUUGAAAUAUCUCUGUAUAUUAGAGACAAAGGAUAGGGGUUGGAGGGAUGGCUCUGCAUUGAAGAGCACUGGCUGCUCGUGAAGAGGGCUCCUACUCAGACUGGGUUUAGACUCCAUACUCACAUGACUACUUACAAUUAUCUGAAACUCCAGUUGCAGGGUAUCCAACGUCUUCUUGUGAACUCCUGAGGCACAAAACUCAUGUGGUGCACUCACUCACAUACAUGCAAGCAAGCCAAACACUCAGAACAAAAUGAAAACAAACCAGUCUUUAAAAUUUCAAAGCAUCAAGUUACUAUUUGAAAUGUCUUUAUUUAUUAAAUCAACAUCUUUCAUGUUCACAAACACAAAAUAAUCCUCGUUGUUUUGACAAUGAAAUCAAUAAACUUAGCUAUUUCU
ensembl:lincRNA Gm26902 predicted gene, 26902